GUGUUGUGGUAGUAACAGCUCGUCAGACUGGUCAGACAGUGUGUGGAUCCUGACACCUAGCAACGAGAGACUGGUCCCAGACAGCUGCUGCAAGACUCCCAGUAACCUCUGUGGCCAAGAGACCACCCCUCUAAUAUCUACAAGGUGGAGGGAGGGUGCAUCACAAAGCUGGAGACCUUCAUUCUGAGCCAACUGCAGAUCCUGGGAGCAGUGGCGAUCGGCAUCGCCUUCCUCCAGCUCGUAGGGAUGAUUCUUGUUUGCUGCCUGUAUCGAGGUCUGAAGGAGGAGUCAUACUGAGCAUGGCUGAUGGCACAACUACAACAGCAAGAAGACAACAACAACAACAACAACAACCACAACUACACAACCACAACAACACAACCACAACUACAACAGCAAGAAGACAACAGCAAGAAGACAACAACAACACAACCACAACAACACAACCACAACUACAACAGCAAGAAGACAACAGCAAGAAGACAACAACAACAACACAACCACAACUACAACAGCAAGAAGACAACAGCAAGAAGACAACAGCAAGAAGACAACAGCAACAACACAACCACAACAACAUAUUUACCAGUAUUUAGAUAUGCUUUCUCUCUGUCUCGGACGCUACAUACAUCUCAUGUAGAUAUUUGGAAUGAAAGUCGUUUUUUUUUUUCAAAGACAAAUUUAAUCUAUGUAGAAGUUUAGGUAAGGCAGGCAAAGAGGCAGGCAGACAGACAGACAGGCAGGCAGCAGGCAGUCAGACAGGCAGGC